GCCUAAUACAUGCAAGUCGAGCGGACUUGAUGGAGUGCUUGCACUCCUGAUAGUUAGCGGCGGACGGGUGAGUAACACGUGGGUAACCUGCCCAUAAGACUGGGAUAACAUUCGGAAACGAAUGCUAAUACCGGAUACGCAAUUUGGUCGCAUGGCCGAGUUGGGAAAGGCGGAGCAAUCUGCCACUUAUGGAUGGACCUGCGGUGCAUUAGCUAGUUGGUGGGGUAACGGCUCACCAAGGCGACGAUGCAUAGCCGACCUGAGAGGGUGAUCGGCCACACUGGGACUGAGACACGGCCCAGACUCCUACGGGAGGCAGCAGUAGGGAAUCUUCCGCAAUGGACGAAAGUCUGACGGAGCAACGCCGCGUGAGUGAUGAAGGUUUUCGGAUCGUAAAGCUCUGUUGCCAGGGAAGAACGCUAUGAGAGUAACUGCUCCAUAGGU
rnacentral:rRNA from 1 species